rnacentral:lncRNA from 1 species
UGUCUAAGCAAGGAUGUGGUGGGUUCUCCAGUGUGAAAUACUGGAAUUCCUUGGGUUUUCUGAUAGGAGCCAAGAUCAAUUGUGUUGACAACACAGGAGCCAAAAAUCUCUAUAUCAUGUCUGUGAAGGGAAUCAAAGGGCAGCUGAACAGACUUUCCACUGCUGGAGUGGGUGACAUGGUGAUGGUCAGUCAAUAAAGGCAAACAACCAGAGCUCAGAAAGGAAGUAUAUCCAGCAGUGGUAGUUCAACAAAAAAAAAGUCAUACCAAAGAAAGAAUGGCAUGUUUCUUUAUUUUGCAGAUAAUAUAGGGGUCAUAGAAAACAAUGAAGGCAAGAUGGAAAGGUCCUGCCAUCAUAAGACCAGUUGGAAAGGAGUGUGCAGACUUGUGGCCCAGGAUUGUGUUAGAUGCUGACAGCAUUGCGU